rnacentral:rRNA from 1 species
UAAAACGGAGGGUGCUAGCGUUGUUCGGAAUUACUGGGCGUAAAGAGCGUGUAGGCGGAUAGAUAAGUCGAGUGUGAAAGUCCUCAGCUUAACUGAGGAAGUGCAUUCGAAACUAUCUUUCUUGAGUACGGAAGAGGGAAGUGGAAUUCCCGGUGUAGGGGUGAAAUCCGUAGAUAUCGGGAGGAAUACCAGUGGCGAAGGCGACUUCCUGGACCGUCACUGACGCUGAGACGCGAAAGCGUGGGGAGCAAACAGGAUUAGAUACCCUGGUAGUCCACGCCGUAAACGAUGGGCACUAGGUGUAUCUCGCUUAGCGGGAUGUGCCGUAGCUAACGCAUUAAGUGCCCCGCCUGGGGAGUACGGUCGCAAGACUA